UACGUAGGUCCCGAGCGUUGUCCGGAUUUAUUGGGCGUAAAGCGAGCGCAGGUGGUUUAAUAAGUCUGAUGUAAAAGGCAGUGGCUCAACCAUUGUGUGCAUUGGAAACUGUUAGACUUGAGUGCAGUAGAGGAGAGUGGAAUUCCAUGUGUAGCGGUGAAAUGCGUAGAUAUAUGGAGGAACACCGGAGGCGAAAGCGGCUAUCUGGCGCACACCUGACGCUGAGGCACGAAAGCUAGGGGAGCAAACAGG
rnacentral:rRNA from 1 species